AGUGUGGACGCCAGUCUGCAUGGAGCCGACCUUGAAAUACCACCCUUUAAUGUUUGAUGUUCUAACGUUGACCCGUAAUCCGGGUUGCGGACAGUGUCUGGUGGGUAGUUUGACUGGGGCGGUCUCCUCCUAAAGAGUAACGGAGGAGCACGAAGGUUGGCUAAUCCUGGUCGGACAUCAGGAGGUUAGUGCAAUGGCAUAAGCCAGCUUGACUGCGAGCGUGACGGCGCGAGCAGGUGCGAAAGCAGGUCAUAGUGAUCCGGUGGUUCUGAAUGGAAGGGCCAUCGCUCAACGGAUAAAAGGUACUCCGGGGAUAACAGGCUGAUACCGCCCAAGAGUUCAUAUCGACGGCGGUGUUUGGCACCUCGAUGUCGGCUCAUCACAUCCUGGGGCUGAAGUAGGUCCCAAGGGUAUGGCUGUUCGCCAUUUAAAGUGGUACGCGAGCUGGGUUUAGAACGUCGUGAGACAGUUCGGUCCCUAUCUGCCGUGGGCGCUGGAGAACUGAGGGGGGCUGCUCCUAGUACGAGAGGACCGGAGUGGACGCAUCACUGGUGUUCGGGUUGUCAUGCCAAUGGCACUGCCCGGUAGCUAAAUGCGGAAGAGAUAAGUGCUGAAAGCAUCUAAGCACGAAACUUGCCCCGAGAUGAGUUCUCCCUGACUCCUUGAGAGUCCUGAAGGAACGUUGAAGACGACGACGUUGAUAGGCCGGGUGUGUAAGCGCAGCGAUGCGUUGAGCUAACCGGUACUAAUGAACCGUGAGGCUUAACCUUACAACGCCGAAG
rnacentral:rRNA from 1 species